rnacentral:rRNA from 1 species
GUAGGGUGCAAGCGUUAUCCGGAAUCAUUGGGCGUAAAGAGCUCGUAGGCGGUUCAGCAAGUCGGCUGUGAAAUCCCGAGGCUUAACCUCGGAACUGCAGUCGAUACUGCUGUGACUAGAGUCCGGUAGAGGAGAAUGGAAUUCCCGGUGUAGCGGUGAAAUGCGCAGAUAUCGGGAGGGACACCAGUAGCGAAGGCGGUUCUCUGGGCCGGUACUGACGCUGAGGAGCGAAAGCGUGGGGGUAGCAAACAGGAUUAGAUACCCUGGUAGUCCACGCCGUAAACGUUGGACACUAGGUGUGGCGUUCCGACCAACGGGUGCCGUGCCGAAGCUAACGCAUUAAGUGUCCCCGCCUGGGAGUACGGCCGCAAGGCUA